rnacentral:rRNA from 1 species
AGAGUUUGAUCCUGGCUCAGGACGAACGCUGGCGGCGCGCCUAACACAUGCAAGUCGAACGAGCGAGAGAGAGCUUGCUUUCUCGAGCGAGUGGCGAACGGGUGAGUAACGCGUGAGGAACCUGCCUCAAAGAGGGGGACAACAGUUGGAAACGACUGCUAAUACCGCAUAAGCCCACAGCUCGGCAUCGAGCAGAGGGAAAAGGAGCAAUCCGCUUUGAGAUGGCCUCGCGUCCGAUUAGCUAGUUGGUGAGGUAACGGCCCACCAAGGCGACGAUCGGUAGCCGGACUGAGAGGUUGAACGGCCACAUUGGGACUGAGACACGGCCCAGACUCCUACGGGAGGCAGCAGUGGGGAAUAUUGCACAAUGGGGGAAACCCUGAUGCAGCGACGCCGCGUGGAGGAAGAAGGUCUUCGGAUUGUAAACUCCUGUUGUUGAGGAAGAUAAUGACGGUACUCAACAAGGAAGUGACGGCUAACUACGUGCCAGCAGCCGCGGUAAAACGUAGGUCACAAGCGUUGUCCGGAAUUACUGGGUGUAAAGGGAGCGCAGGCGGGAAGGCAAGUUGGAAGUGAAAUCCAUGGGCUCAACCCAUGAACUGCUUCCAAAACUGGUUUUCUUGAGUAGUGCAGAGUAGGCGGAAUUCCCGGUGUAGCAGUGGAAUGCGUAGAUAUCGGGAGGAACACCAGUGGCGAAGGCGGCCUACUGGGCACCAACUGACGCUGAGGCUCGAAAGUGUGGGUAGCAAACAGGAUUAGAUACCUGGUAGUCCACACUGUAAACGAUGAUUACUAGGUGUUGGAGGAUUGACCCCUUCAGUGCCGCAGUUAACACAAUAAGUAAUCCACCUGGGGAGUACGACCGCAAGGUUGAAACUCAAAGGAAUUGACGGGGGCCCGCACAAGCAGUGGAGUAUGUGGUUUAAUUCGACGCAACGCGAAGAACCUUACCAAGUCUUGACAUCCUGCGACGCACAUAGAAAUAUGUGUUUCCUUCGGGACGCAGAGACAGGUGGUGCAUGGUUGUCGUCAGCUCGUGUCGUGAGAUGUUGGGUUAAGUCCCGCAACGAGCGCAACCCUUAUGGUCAGUUACUACGCAAGAGGACUCUGGCCAGACUGCCGUUGACAAAACGGAGGAAGGUGGGGAUGACGUCAAAUCAUCAUGCCCUUUAUGACUUGGGCUACACACGUACUACAAUGGCGUUAAACAAAGAGAAGCAAGACCGCGAGGUGGAGCAAAACUCAGAAACAACGUCCCAGUUCGGACUGCAGGCUGCAACUCGCCUGCACGAAGUCGGAAUUGCUAGUAAUCGCAGAUCAGCAUGCUGCGGUGAAUACGUC